UGUCUUUGCAUACCCUGUUCUGACACUGUCUCUGUCCUGUUUGAUGGCUGUUCCAUAUGAAAUGUUCUACUCCUCUUACCAGCUUCUCUUCUCCAGAGGUCGGUCAUUCAGAAUCCUGAAGCCAUCAUACGACGCAUCAGUUGGUGGUGAUGUCAGGUCCGUCGGGCUUCCACGCCCUAGCUCGAGAGGUUUUCUUGUCCUGGUUUAGCUCGACAGGUCCCCAUCCCACGUCAGGCCACAGCCGGAUCACCAGGGUUUUACACCUCAACCGGCUCACCAGGCGUCUAUGCUUCAGCCAGCACAUCAGGCUCCCACGUUCCAGCGGGAUCAUCAGGCUGUCACGCCUCAGCCGGUUCGCGAGGCCACCACACCCCUGCCAGUUCGUCGGCUGUCACGCCCCAGCCGGCUGGUCCAAUGCCCUGGCCGGUCCGUCACGCCUGCUCCCGCUCCCUGGCGCUCGAAGGCGCCAGGCUCCCCAGCAUUACGCACUCCUGCCACCAUCAGUACGCACACCUUCCUUCCCCCGUCAGGCACAUCAGCGAUUAUUGGACUCACCUGGACUCAAUCACCUGUCAUUACCUCCCCUAUAUCUGUCUGUUCCCUGCUUCAGGAUUAAUGUUCGUUUGUCUUUGCAUUCCAGGUUCUGACGCUGUCUCUGUCCUGUUUGAUGUAUGUUCCAUAUUAAAAUGUUCUAUUCCCCGUACCUGCUUCUCUUCUCCAGCGUCGGUCCUUACAGGCCAGGACUGUUCGAAUCAACCCAAUAUGAUGAACCCUGAAGAUGGGACAAAGUGCAUGGCAAGGUGGCCAAGAGGAAGCCAGCUGUUCUCAACCCCUACAUUGCCACAUUCUAUCAAGAGCUCACAGAGUUUGAAUGAAGACCUCUAGGUUGAGAAGAGCUGACAAAUAAGAACUGAAGAGGAUUGUUAUGGAGACCCAGGAGGAACACUGAAUGCUGUGCUGGCUUCUCUCUCCUGCCCAAACUGUUUGUUUUUCUUUUUUCUUUCACUGCCUCUGAACCCCCUUACCCCGAAUAGUGGCCCAUGAUAUUCUCUCUCUCCCACUCUCUUACUCCCUAUCUCACAUUUAUGUUGUAAUGAUGCUCUUAUUUGGUUACAUAGGCUAUAUAUACACAAAAGUAUGUGGACACACCUUAACAUUAGUGGAUUCGGAUAUUUCAGCCACACCCAAUGCUGAUAGGUUUAUGAAUGACAGUUGAAUGGUGUAACUGAAGAGCUCAGUGACUUUCAACGUCACACAGUCAUAGGAAGCCACCUUUCCAACAAGUUAGUUAGUCCAAUUUCUGACCUGCUA